rnacentral:rRNA from 1 species
AUUGAACGCUGGCGGCAUGCUUUACACAUGCAAGUCGAACGGCAACGAGGAGAAGCUUGCUUCUCUGUCGGCGAGUGGCGAACGGGUGAGUAUAGCAUCGGAACGUGCCAAGUAGUGGGGGAUAACCAAACGAAAGUUUGGCUAAUACCGCGUAAGCUCCAAGGCGGAAAGUAGGGGACCUAAAUAAGGCCUUACGCUAUUUGAUCGGCCGAUGUCGGAUUAGCUAGUUGGUGGGGUAAUGGCUCACCAAGGCAAUGAUCCGUAGCGGGUCUGAGAGGACGAUCCGCCACACUGGGACUGAGACACGGCCCAGACUCCUACGGGAGGCAGCAGUGGGGAAUUUUGGACAAUGGGGGAAACCCUGAUCCAGCCAUGCCGCGUGUAUGAAGAAGGCCUUAGGGUUGUAAAGUACUUUUGUUAGGGAAGAAAAGCUAGUUUUUAAUAAAAAUUAGUGAUGACGGUACCUAAAGAAUAAGCACCGGCUAACUACGUG